AAGUUGACUUCAACAUUUAAGAGUACCAAGGGCCGCAGUCUUUUGCUCAAUACGGAUUGUUUUAAAUAAAACCUAAUGUAGUUAUUGAAAAUAUUUGUUGAUUUCCGUGUAACAUGGAAAUGUUUUAUAGCACAAUACAUCAACACCACAAAUGCAUAUGAAUGAUAACUAAUAGAAUUAUUAAUGCCAAAAAUCAAAACAUAAAUUUCUUUAUAUUUUUCUUCAAAAAAAUGUAUGAAGAACUUAUUAAGUUUGUUUCAAAAUAUAUCUAAACAAUAUGUGUUUUAAAAUAUAUAUCUAAACAUAUUGAUGUUUUAGACUUCGCUUUGAUUUAUUUUCCCUAUGAUUUCUCUUCUCCUAAACAGGUCGAGGAUCACCCAAAACCACUUGGUGCCUAGCGAUGAUUUUUCUGCUACCAACUUGACCUGAUUAUAGUACUCACUUGGGAGUCAGGUUUAAGUUAACAACAUGACUGCACAAUAUGGCAUCAAUGGCAAAGAAGAAGUGAUCAGAGGGGGUUAUAAUGUGCAAGUCAAGUAGGCGACGUCCAUGAUGAGACUGAAAACCCUGAUUGCAAUAUGCAGAGUCUGCUCCAGAAGCAUUUGCAGACACAGCACAUUAACCCGCUGCAGUCAUCGUCUUCAGAUGAUAUCAUCUCUAUGGUGCAGGACCCUCAGUCUGUGUACACAGGGAACCUUCGACGCCAAUGACGAAAUCAAACCAUCCAAUCAGAAACACAUCCUGUUGCAGCAGUUAUUACCAUAUUGACCCCAGUCAAACAAAAGAAGCUCAGAGAUAAAUGCUGUAUAUGGUGUUCUAGUCUCUACAUACCUUGUGGUAUGUUGAGCACGUACUCUGACAGGUUCUAUCUUAUAAUUGUUUGACUGGUGGAAAAUAAAUGACCUUGUUCAAGUCGAAAUGUCAGAAUAACAAUUCAUACUUCAAAUGCCAAAAAGUCAUAUCAACAGCCACAUUUGUUAUGUGACCAGCAAAGUUGUAUUCAAAGAGACACAAUAGUUUACUUUAUAUUUUCUUGUGACCAACCAAGUUGUAUUUAAUGAAAAACAAUAGUUUAUGUUUUAUGGGAAUUAUGAUGCUGUUAGUCAUGUUAUGUUGGACGUUUUAGUUAAAUAUAGUAUGUUACAAAAUGUAUUAUUUGAAGCACACAUAUUGCAGGUAUAUCCAAUGUCUGUGUCUGUAUUAUGAACCUUUCACUUCAGAUUUUGAUCUGGAUAUGGUAAAUUUAAGGGAAAUACAAUCAUAACAAAGUUAUUUUAAGAUUGUCAAAGUUGUUUAAAUGUUUAUGGUAACUUGAACACAAUUGAAAAUAUAUUGGCGUAUUGUCCAUGUUUCAGUUUUCUGUUUUACCAGUAAUAUAGAUGUGCUCAUUAAAAUAAUUCUUCAAAGAGGUUGAGAGUUAUGAAACUUCAGAUUUUCUGUAUAUCAAUCUUUCUGAACACAAUACAUGUCAAUUUGCUCAUUCGGGUCGGUAUUUGAUCCAAAAUCUUGUUAAGUAGCAUACUUUUUCAAGGGAAUAUAAAUUAAUUCUGGGCAAAAGUGUUUAAUCUCCUUAAAUUGAUUGAUUCUUUGUUUACCACCAGUACUUUGUUGAUUUCACUUGCUUGCUAAAUAAUUAAAGCAUGACUGUUGUUUUAUUUGAAAAGCUUUUAAUAAAACUCAGAAUUGAAAACAAUAUUUAAAAAAAUGAGUUUUAUGAAAAAUGACACAUUUUAUGUUUGUUAAUUUGUGUUGUAAGAUCAUAGACUUACAUGCUCAUAAGUGUUAACAUUCGAUUUUGGACGUUAAAGUUUAUAAUGCUUUAUAUAUGCAUAUGUAGAUUUACACAACCAGAUUGUACCGUCUUAAAUCAGUGAGUAAUUUAACCCAGAUUUCUUGAUAACUGUUAAUAGGUAUAUUUUGCCAUUUAUACAACUGCAAAGCGAUUGUAUUUUCGAUGUAAAUCAUUCAUUUAGUGUUGCCAUUGUUUAAGAUAAACUCACUGUUUACAUUUAUUUGUACACACCAUUGUUAUAAAACAACAUUGCUUGUGUAAAUGCACAUAUAUGUAUAAAAACUGUUUAAUAAUGCAGCAUUAAAUAUUCUGAAGAGAAAAGGAUAUUUACGGCAAUAGAAACACCUUGUUAUAUGCUAUGCUUUUCAUCAAAUGAAUUUGAGCAACUAUUAAAAUGAAUUUAUUCCUUCUUUAAUUUUAACUAAAUACAACGAUAGUACCUUGAAAUUAGAAAUGAGUCAAUUACAAAAUAAGGGAGAGUGAUGUCAUAUUGUCAGGCAUAGCAAUUGCCUCUAUUGGUAAUAUAACAGAGCAGUAUUAUUUGCUUAAACAAUACAAAUUGAGAUGUCUUUUUUUGUUAGAUAAUAAUUGUGUUUACAACUCGAUAUAACGAGUAAAUACAUACAGAAUUUCAAAUUAUUUCGCAAUAUAUACUCGGCAAUAAGUGAAAGUCUAAAAGGAUUUUGUGGAAUAAACAAUAUGCAAAUUAUUUGCUUGUUUCGUGAAGUAAUAGUUAAGGUAAAAUGUGGUACUUAUUGUUACACAAACACAAUGUGUAAUAACAGAAUGCAUCAGUAAUGACAUUUAUUAAAAUUCCUUAAAUUUACAUGACUACUCAGUGCUUUGAGUUUUGUAAUUGUGACGAUUAUAAGUGAAUAUUCUGCAAAAAAUACCUCUAUACGAAAUGUGUAUAUUUCAAUAAUAAUGGUAUACUUGUAUGCAAAGUACUUGAAUAGGUUUGAUGUAUUGCUGAUAAAGAAUUGUGUAAUUGUACUAGUCCUAUUCCAGUUUGUGUAACGUUGACCGUUCAACAUAAGCUGUCAGUGGAGUGAAUUCACUGGGGCCAGUUUCUGUAAAUCUUCCGAUUUAAAACUGCAGCAUACACGUAUGUCUUAAAUCCAGAUUUACAUAACAGUGUAGUUGUUUAUCUUGAAUUUGUAUUGAAUGCAUAAAACAUGUUUGUUCUGUUGUUGAACAACUGAAGAUAGCUUUAAAUGUGUACAUUGUGUUUCAUUUUUAGAUAUAUCAAAUUGAUACAUAGAAAACAAAAUACAAAAUGUGCAAUAAUUGGUAUGCAUGUUAAGCCCAAAAAAUGUUAUCAUACAAGCAUAACUAAGUAUUGGACUAUAUGAUACUGUAAGAUGAAAUGUUUAAAUCACGUCUUGAUUUUUUCAUCUACUUUAAGUAAACAUUUUUCAUAAGUAGAUAUUGGUUGUAUAAAAUCUAUUGAAACUGCCCCCAAUGCAUUUUAAUUGCUUUUGUAAAUAUAUUCAAUAUGUAACAUUAUUGUUAAUGGUAUGUUUAUAGUUAAAGUGUAAGUGUUUCUCUAAACUGUAACCGGGUGUCUGUUUAAUUUAUUGAGAUGUGUUUAUAUUGUCCGGCUUAUUAAAUUAAAUAUUGUGCAAAUUGUCGCAUUGUGGUUGUUGUGAUAAAAACAAAGCACUUUCCACUACU